UAGGGUUUUAUAUCACGCGGUGUGGUAGCAGCAACUGAGCUUGUUUUCGUUGCCGCUUCACCCACCGUAGCAACCAUGGUGGAAUCAACUUAUGCUUGCCCUAAUUUGAUUUGUUUUGUGCAGAUCAUUCUCGAGAAGAACCGUAAAGAGAUCUGCAAAUACAUCUUCCAAGAGGGAGUUUGCUUUGCGAAGAAGGACUUCAAUGUGGCAAAGCACCCAGAGAUUGAUGUGCCGAAUCUGCACUGACCGUGAGAGGAGAUUCAAAUCCAGAGAGUAGGCCCAUCUCGCUUUGACGGAGAGAGGAGAUUCGGCAGUGACCGUGAUGGAUACCGUGGAGAUCCACGCAAAAGACUCAUUUUUAUUUAAUGAAUACAGUAUUAUUUAAUUUUCCUUGUUUUUCUAUUGUAAUAGGAAAUAAGAAAGGCAGUGGAAAUGACUAUUUUUAUAUUUAUAAAUAAUUCAAUGUUUGAAAUUGAAUGUU